rnacentral:rRNA from 1 species
CAGUCGCCACGGGAAUACAGAGGGUGCAAGCGUUAAUCGGAAUUACUGGGCGUAAAGCGCGCGUAGGUGGUUCAUUAAGUUGGAUGUGAAAGCCCUGGGCUCAACCUGGGAACUGCAUUUGUGACUGGCAGGCUAGAGUAUGGCAGAGGGGGGUGGAAUUCCGCGUGUAGCAGUGAAAUGCGUAGAUAUGCGGAGGAACACCGAUGGCGAAGGCAGCCCCCUGGGCCAAUACUGACGCUCAUGCACGAAAGCGUGGGGAGCAAACAGGAUUAGAUACCCCGGUAGUCCCUGUCUCUUAUAC